AAUACAACUUUCCAUUCAUCCCUAAUGUUUCAGACCUGAUAUCUUUACAGGUGUUUGUGUAUCAUGUGAUGAUAUUAAGGAGAUAGAUGACAUGUACUCUUAAGAGGAGCAAACUCAGAGUUGUCUCUUUAAUUUUUUUCUUUUACAUAGGCUUUCUCCUGUUUCUUUCUUACAGAUUGAAGGAGAAAAACAUACUUAAAGAUACAGUCCUGUACAUCAUUUUCAGGAACAAACUGCAAAAUUUCAAUGCUAAGCAUGGAUCUGUAUCACUUGAGCUACUGAAGGUGAGUACCUGCAAAAGAGUUAGGCUGCUGCUCCAUCUUUCUAAGGAGUGUUUAAGUGUUGAAGUGGAGAAGACAGCAUCCUGCGUCAGUCUGCUGAUCACUGGUUUGAGUCAUUUCCUGUGAGCCUGGGAUACCAACCUGCAUUCUCUCUGGCAGAGGCAGGAAAUGAUCUUGUUCCCUGUGUCUCGACCUGGAAAAGCGUUAUGUUUUAUCUUUAAAAGCCAUAAAGGUUCUUCGUUCUUUUGAGGAUCCAUUUCUCUUCUUUCUUUUUUUACCAGGGGAAAUUGAUAGAAGGGCAAAAGAGGAGAUAAAUGGGAGGCUGGGAAAUUCAGGUAAAUCUUUUUGUGCUUGACUUUUUGCAAUAUUAAAAUAAUUACUAAAGGAAUAUAUAUUUCUGAAUAAAUAUGUUUUUCAGAAAA